rnacentral:rRNA from 1 species
UGGGGAAUAUUGCACAAUGGGGGAAACCCUGAUGCAGCGACGCCGCGUGAGUGAAGAAGUAAUUCGUUACGUAAAGCUCUAUCAGCAGGGAAGAAAUACUGACCUUACGGUCAGCAGACGGUACCUGAGUAAGAAGCCCCGGCUAACUACGUGCCAGCAGCCGCGGUAAUACGUAGGGGGCAAGCGUUAUCCGGAUUUACUGGGUGUAAAGGGAGCGUAGACGGUACGCCAAGUCUGAAGUGAAAUGCCGCAGCUUAACUGCGGAACUGCUUUGGAAACUGGCGGGCUGGAGUGCGGGAGGGGUAAGCGGAAUUCCUAGUGUAGCGGUGAAAUGCGUAGAUAUUAGGAGGAACACCGGUGGCGAAGGCGGCUUACUGGACCGUAACUGACGUUGAGGCUCGAAAGCGUGGGGAGCAAACAGG